rnacentral:rRNA from 1 species
UACAGAGGUGGCAAGCGUUGUUCGGAAUUACUGGGCGUAAAGGGCGCGUAGGCGGUCUUUUAAGUCUUGUGUGAAAUCCCUCGGCUCAACUGAGGAACUGCACGGGAUACUGGAAGACUUGAGUUCGGGAGAGGGAAGCGGAAUUCCGGGUGUAGCGGUGAAAUGCGUAGAUAUCGGGAGGAACACCUGAGGCGAAGGCGGGCUACUGGGCCGAUACUGACGCUCAUGCGCGAAAGCCAGGGGAGCGAACGGG